rnacentral:rRNA from 1 species
UUAGGAAUAUUCGUCAAUGGGGGAAACCCUGAACGAGCAAUGCCGCGUGAGUGAUGAAGGCCCUAUGGGUUGUAAAACUCUGUUGUUUGGAAAGAAUUGUACAAGUAGGAAAUGACUUGUGCUUGACGGUACCAUUCAAGAAAGCCACGGCUAACUACGUGCCAGCAGCCGCGGUAAUACGUAGGUGGCGAGCGUUAUCCGGAUUUAUUGGGCGUAAAGCGUCCGCAGCCGGUUUUGUAAGUCUAGAAUAAAAGCCUGGGGCUCAACCCCAGUUCGUUUUAGAAACUGCAAGGCUAGAGUGUGGUAGAGGCAAAUGGAAUUUCUAGUGUAGCGGUAAAAUGCGUAGAUAUUAGAAGGAACACCAGUGGCGAAGGCGAUUUGCUGGGCCAUCACUGACGGUCAGGGACGAAAGCGUGGGGAGCAAAUAGGA